GGCCUGGUAGAGCGACGGCCGGAUCAGGUCGUUCAUGCCGGCAUCGACGAUGGCGAAGUUCUUGGUUUCACCGGGCUUC
rnacentral:tRNA from 1 species